GACAAAAAGAGCGAUCAAUCCCUCAGCAGCUCCUUAAGAAUCAAAAAGACAGGCCUCCCCUUACACCGAGUGCAAGCAAAUGUGUCCUCUUCCACGGAUGUGCUGCACAGCGUUAGAGAAACUCGUGUUAGAACCCAGGCUGUGUCAUAGAAGAAAACUUUUGUAACAUCGCACAAAACUCAGAGGAACCCUGCCCAGAUGACAAAGGAACAGAAGUGUCAGAAAGCUGCGAGAGACAGGCUGAGAGGCCAUCGCCCCCUACGAGACCCACGAAGCCCCGCCUUAUGGAGAAGCCCCGCAUGGAACUGCCGUCUCCGCUCAGGACCUGGAGGCGAGCUCGUCCCGCAGCGCCGACGGGAGACCUCAGGCCGCUCCGCCGCGCUCCUGCCCCGGCCGGUGGACCCCUGCAGACGUCCUCCCUUCACGCAGGCUCCUCCCGCGAUCAACACGGCAGGCGUUUGGCGUUUGAAGUUCUUUCCGUCUCUUCUUUGAGCCCAAAACAAGCUGACGAUGUAGGUGCUCCCUCGCCCCCGUGCGGCAGAGAAGCACGUCAGUUUGGCAAAGUUGGGUAACUUGGCUCAAACCACGCAGGUGGCAGAUAGUUCACUGGCCUUAAAUAUCCUGUCAGUGGAACAUUCCUGACCUCAGAGGACAGUCCUACAGUUGUCUGGAUUCCUCAAAUGGGACAAGUUGGUCAUAAAUUGGGAUGUCUGUGACACAGGCCAAAUUAUGGAAAGCAAAGUAAAAGCCUGUGUUGACAACAGGGGCCGCGGAGCAAGGUGCUAAGCGAGGCGCGGCAGCGCUGAGCUCCCGGGCCCUGACGUUACCGGAGCUGAGCUACGUGCUCCCCCGGGGUCACCGUCCGCCCGCGAGCGUGGCUCUGGUCAGACGCGCACGGCAGCUGGGCAGGCGCCACGCGCCCUCCGCGGCCGCCCCUGCGCCGCAGAAGCAAACCCGGAUCACCGUUCCGAUCUGCAGCCCCGAGCCGGCACGGCCGCGGCACAGAGCCGAAGGGCACGGCUCCCGGGCCGCUCUGCCACCGGAGGGCUUUCGGCCACCAGCGAACGCCUCCUGGUCGGCGAAAUGGCCAGGUCGUGGUAGCCUCGUCCCAGGCGUGGCGGGGAAACGAAGUGAGUGCGCAGGUGCGAAGUGCUUGUCGCGGCGUGCGGCCUGUGGCGAAGGCUCUUCGAGUGUUACUGAGUUUGAUUUAUGGAGAAGACCACGCCUCACACGGCGCACUGAGAGCGGGGAGCGAGAGCGAGGCUCAGCCCACACCUGCGUUUUACUCAUACGCCUUUGGAACCCCCGGAGUCACGUGCUAAACCCGCAGAUUCUUGCUAGUCAAUUUCCAUUUGCUCUCGGCAAGAUACUCAUUUCCCCAUGUGAAGGAAAAGGUCCAGAAUAGCUAACCGGCUAUGAGCUAUCUAACUCUUGCAAAACAGCAUUCUGAUGAAAGGAAGGUCGAUUAAUCAGGCUCACGGCGACUAAAUCUCUUGAAAAGGAAGGAAGGAAGGAAGGAAGGAAGGAAGGAAGGAAGGAAGGAAGGAAGGAAGGAAGAAGAAGGAAGGAAAAAGAGAAGGAAGGAAAGAGAAAAAGAAAGAAAGAGGAAGGAAGGAAGAAAGGAAAAGAAAGAAAGAAAGGAAAGAAGGAAGGAAGAAAGGAGAAAGAAAGAAAGGGAGAAAGAGAGAAAAGAAAAAGAAAGAUUGGUUGAAAAAACUGGGCAAAGAAUACAAGAGCUUUGUAGAAAUCCAUUUUUAGCCAAACCCUAAACAUCCCUCCACAGGCUUCUCAAACGCCUUGGACCUGUUUGCGUGCACGCUUUGUUGAGCUACGUGAUUCAUGAUCACUUUGGAGACACUCAGAUACACUUAUAUGUAAUUUGCUUUUGCAUGAUUUUAUUAGAAAGAAGAAAUCCUGGCUGAAUUUCUUUUACUAUUUGCAUAAUAAAAAUAUUAAUAUCCAUUGAAAGGUCAAUUCAGGUGUGCACUUGCCUGUGCUAAACGACAGUUUUGUGCCAAGAGCCCUAACAGUUUUCCUCACAGAAGAAUGGAAGAAGUGUUUCUUCUAAGUGAUUCUGAACGUGGCCUGUGUUGGGAAGUAACCUGGAGUUGCAUUGUUGAGAUUCUAGGAUGUUGCUAUUUUAGGAAAUAAAUGAAUUCAUUGGCCUAUAGCCCACAUUCCAUUUUAUCUGGAAAAUUAUAUGCCACAGGCCAGGAGGCAUAUUUUUUUCUUAAUAAAUAGAUAAACUGUGUCAUGAUGUUAACUGCAUGGUAAGAGAGACAAGGGAUUGUCUUCCUUCCAGGAGAAGUGAAGGUUCUGGAAUGGUAUUUAAUAGUCUUUUCCAUUUUUUCCUUCUUUAAUUUUUUUCUACAGCGAUCCAUUUAAACUGAAAUUGUUCAGAUUAAAUCAGGUCUGCUUCCCUGCAGGUCUGAUAACUCCUUCUCAGACACCCGAAGAUUUUAACUAAAGUUCGAGUCCUAGCUUACACUGCAUACUUCUGGUUUUCCCACAUUUUGUUUCAGAUGUUGAGCCAAGAUCAAAUUAGAUUCAUAUUUUCUUAUUAAAAAAAACCCCACAAACUCUAUAUGGUGAUAGAUUAUGUCCGUUUAGAAAAAUUGGGGGAGACUAGAAAGAUAAGGCUUUUUACAAUUCGAACCUCAUAAUUCUCUUGUCGCCAUUUAAGAAAGUAAGGUAAAAAUAAAAUGGAUCAUGGCCAGCAUGCAGAUAAGUGAAUUUAUUUAAAGAAGGAAGAACUCUAAAGAAAACACGGCUUCAAGCAAAAUCACCACUUUGCAUCAUAGGCCCAUUAGUGCUGAAAAUUCAACGUGUCCCACCCGCCUUCCGUGGCACAUAAUGCGGAGAAAGGCUUGUGCGGUCAUUGUAUGAGAUGUUUAUUCAGGACAUGAAAGCACAGGUCCAUGUAAUAAUGAUAUUCUUCAAGAAAAUAGUUUAGAAGUAUUCAAAUUUUAUUAUAUUAUCCAACAAGUAGUGCUGUUCUUGGAUCUCACCUCCUGAGCAGCUCAUGUGAAUCACACAAGGCCUUUCACACAACCGGCUCGCAGGGGCUUAGUCCCUGAGGGCGAUGUACACGGACCUGGGUCCUCCCCAUCCCCGCCUUGAACCUGGGGGCUGCCAGGCACCCAGAGAGUCAGCUUGCACACUACCCCUCAGGAGCUCGUUUCCAACAUCACAGACAGUUGUCAACAGAUCAAAUGUUCGAAAGAACGACCAGUAGAAAUAAGUGUGACGUCUGAGAGGCAUGACCUGGGUUCAGAUCCCGCCUCUGCCACUUACUGCCUUUACGCAUGUCAUGGAAUCUUAGGAGUUACUGUCAUCAGGGACGUUUGAUAAAGGAGACGCCACCCCAGAGCAGACGUGUAGGUACCUGCAGGGGAGGCCGGCUGGGUCACCCGAUGCCUCUCGGGGGCCCUCCGCUCCAGCUGCCACGCAGGCGAUGAGAGUGAACGCAGGGAUGCUGGCCAAACGGCAUCCUUGAGACAACGGGGCCGACAGCAGGUCGGAGAAACCCGCAAGAUUGUCCAGAAGUAGAACCCGUCAAGGUUCCACGAGGCCUAGAGAGAAGACAGUUGGAUAGAAACGCUGUGAAGAGAGCAAUAACCAGUUACAGCUUCUAAAACAAUGUGAGAAUUCUCACCUAAUUACAGUGUUGGCAGGGACACGUUUUAGGAGCUAUCAUCAAUGCAUAAAUGAAAAAGCAGUACAUUUUAUCAUAGCACAGAUGUGUUCCCUGUGUCCAAGGGCAGAGUGUCAGAAUUUGAAAAAAAAAAUGUAUAAUGCGUGUCAUGUGUUUUUCUUUUAUUUUUCUAAAGUUAUUUACUUUUGUUUUCAUGUCUCACCCACUUGUGCUCACCUACACUUACUGUAGUAAGUAUCUGUCUGGUACACAGUACACACCAAGCACCGUAUUAAACAUGGGAUGAAAAAGCAUCAGCGUCUAUUCUUGAAGAGCUCAUGGUAAAUUCAGCAGGGACGGAUCCGAACGCACAUGAGUUCACACCAGGAAGUACUGGGUUCUCUAACAGACGUACAAAGUGCUCUGGGAACCCCAGUGAGGAAAUAAUCCGGAUUGAGCCAGAGGAGAAGGGGUUUCCAUACAGACGCGGAGAGGGUCUUUGAUGUGGGCACUGAGAAGGGGGAGAGCGCUCUCUGCGUCCUAGAAUCAUAAACUAUUACUGCUAAAAAGAUGUUUCUGACGGUUAAGUUUAACUGCCUCAUUUUAAAGCUAAAGGAAACAAGACUUGGAGGGCGGGGUUAGGGGAUGUGCUGAAAGCACCCCAUAUGAAGGCAGAGAGGAGUCAGGGUCCGGGGGCUGGGUUUCCAGGUCACUGGACCUUCUCUUGCAGACUCUGGCCGCAAGUCAGUGUCCCCCUGUGCAAAUCCCACCCCCAAGUCCAGUUCAGGCCAGCUAACGGAGGUUCCCCGCGGGACAGGGAAAUACUUACCUAUCUAAAGGAGUCAACGACUAAACAAAACCUCAGAAGUGGUGCUUUCAGCCAUUGUUUCCACAUAUUUCCAUUUAUUUACCCCGUUGCUGAGGAAGGUGGUAUUAUCUAGACAUUGCUCAGUUUGCCAGAAGUGUAAUACUAUUUACCUUUUUAUUGAAUGCCAGGAAUCCUUAAAUGACAAGCGCUAUUUAUUAUGUAAAACAUCCCUUAAAACCCAUCACCAUCUGACUCGUACUUGCUAGGGUCUGGCAACUUUGAAUUGGGCCUUUUGCCAUGUCUGACAGAUGGUCAGAAAUAUAUGUAGCCAAAAUACCAUAUAUGUGCACUGAUUGUGAAAAUCUGGGGUCUGCAUCUCAGCUGAAUCGCCCACAUGGUUUCCAGGCUGAUGGACACAGGCGAGAUUAAAGAGACGUGCGGGGUGAGAAUGGUGCCUAGAGAGAGGUGCUCCGAAUCUCCCGCUGCCCGUGGUUCUCGCUACAGAGAGUCCUGGUCGUUUUUUGGUUUUUGUUUUAGAAUUUUUAGAAUUUUUUUUUUUUACUAAGGUAUAGUGAGUUCCAAUGUGUCAGUUUCUGGUGUACAGCAUCGUGUCUCAGUCAUGCAUGUACAUACAUGUAUUUGUUUUCAUGUUCUUUUUCAUUAAAGUUUAUUA